UACGGGGGGGGCAAGCGUUGUUCGGAAUUACUGGGCGUAAAGGGUUCGUAGGUGGCUUGCUAAGUCAGACGUGAAAUCCCCAGGCUCAACUUGGGAACUGCGUCUGAUACUGGAUGGCUUGAAUUCGGGAGAGGGAUGCAGAAUUCCAGGUGUAGCGGUGAAAUGCGUAGAUAUCUGGAGGAAUACCGGUGGCGAAGGCGGCAUCCUGGACCGAGAUUGACACUGAUGAGCGAAAGCUAGGGGAGCAAACGGG
rnacentral:rRNA from 1 species